CCUACGGGUGGCAGCAGUGAGGAAUAUUGGUCAAUGGGCGCAAGCCUGAACCAGCCAAGUCGCGUGAGGGAAGACGGCCCUAUGGAUUGUAAACCUCUUUUGCAGGGGAGCAAAAGCCGCCACGCGUGGCGUUCCGAGAGUACCCGAAGAAAAAGCAUCGGCUAAUUCCGUGCCAGCAGCCGCGGUAAUACGGAGGGUGCGAGCGUUAUCCGGAUUUAUUGGGUUAAAAGGGAGCGCAGGCGGAAGAUCAAGUCAGCGGUAAAAUUGCGGGGCUCAACCUCUACGAGCAGUUGAAACUGGUUAUCUUGAGUGCGCGAGAGGCAUGCGGAAUUCGUGGUGUAGCGGUGAAAUGCAUAGAUAUCACGAAGAACUCCGAUUGCGAAGGCAGCAUGCCGGCGCUCAACUGACGCUGAUGCACGAAAGUGUGGGUAUCGAACAGGAUUAGAUACCCGUGUAGUC
rnacentral:rRNA from 1 species